rnacentral:rRNA from 1 species
AUACGGAGGGUGCAAGCGUUAUCCGGAUUCAUUGGGUUUAAAGGGUGCGCAGGCGGAAUGAUAAGUCAGUGGUGAAAUCCUACAGCUUAACUGUAGAACUGCCAUUGAUACUGUCAUUCUUGAGUACACUUGAAGUGGGCGGAAUGUAUCAUGUAGCGGUGUAAUGCAUAGAUAUGAUACAGAACUCCGAUAGCGAAGGCAGCUCACUAAAUUGUAACUGACGCUCAGGCACGAAAGCGUGGGGAGCAAACAGGAUUAGAAACCCCUGUAGUCC